rnacentral:rRNA from 1 species
CCUACGGGUGGCUGCAGUAAGGAAUAUUGGUCAAUGGACGAAAGUCUGAACCAGCCAUGCCGCGUGGAGGAUGAAGGUCCUCUGGAUUGUAAACUUCUUUUAUAUGGGACGAAAAAAGGGUUUUCUAACUCACUUGACGGUACCAUAUGAAUAAGCACCGGCUAACUCCGUGCCAGCAGCCGCGGUAAUACGGAGGGUGCAAGCGUUAUCCGGAUUCACGGGGUUUAAGGGGAGCGUAGAAGUGUGUGGAGAAAGCCCCGAGCUUAACUCGGGAACUGCCAUUGAUACUAUCAGUCUUGAAUACCGUGGAGGUCAGCGGAAUAUGUCAUGUAGCGGUGAAAUGCUUAGAUAUGACAUAGAACACCAAUUGCGAAGGCAGCUGGCUAACCGAAUAUUGACACUGAGGCUCGAAAGCGUGGGGAGCAAACAGGAUUAGAUACCCGUGUAGUC